GACGAACGCUGGCGGCGUGCUUAACACAUGCAAGUCGAACGAUGAAGCCCAGCUUGCUGGGUGGAUUAGUGGCGAACGGGUGAGUAACACGUGAGCAACGUGCCCGAGACUCUGGAAUAACUACCGGAAACGGUGGCUAAUACCGGAUAUGUGCCAGGGAGGCAUCUCCUCUGGUUGGAAAGAUUUUUCGGUUUCGGAUCGGCUCACGGCCUAUCAGCUUGUUGGUGGGGUAAUGGCCUACCAAGGCGACGACGGGUAGCCGGCCUGAGAGGGUGACCGGCCACACUGGGACUGAGACACGGCCCAGACUCCUACGGGAGGCAGCAGUGGGGAAUAUUGCACAAUGGGCGCAAGCCUGAUGCAGCAACGCCGCGUGAGGGAUGACGGCCUUCGGGUUGUAAACCUCUUUUAGUAGGGAAGAAGCGCAAGUGACGGUACCUGCAGAAAAAGCACCGGCUAACUACGUG
rnacentral:rRNA from 1 species